GAUGAACGCUGGCGGUAUGCUUAACACAUGCAAGUCGAACGGUCACUUCGGUGAUAGUGGCGGACGGGUGAGUAACGCGUGAGAAUCUGUCUUCAGGUCGGGGACAACAGUUAGAAAUGACUGCUAAUACCGGAUGUGCCUUUGGGUGAAAGAUUUAUUGCCUGAAAAAGAGCUCGCGUCAGAUUAGCUAGUAGGUGGUGUAAGAGACUACCUAGGCUCCGAUCUGUAGCUGGUCUGAGAGGAUGAUCAGCCACACUGGAACUGAGACACGGUCCAGACUCCUACGGGAGGCAGCAGUGGGGAAUUUUCCGCAAUGGGCGAAAGCCUGACGGAGCAAUACCGCGUGAGGGACGAAGGCUUUUGGGUCGUAAACCUCUUUUCUCAAGGAAGAUGAUGACGGUACUUGAGGAAUAAGCAUCGGCUAACUCUGUG
rnacentral:rRNA from 1 species